CUCCUUUGACGUUAGCGGCGGACGGGUGAGUAACACGUGGGUAACCUACCUAUAAGACUGGGAUAACUUCGGGAAACCGGAGCUAAUACCGGAUAACAUUUGGAACCGCAUGGUUCUAAAGUGAAAGAUGGUUUUGCUAUCACUUAUAGAUGGAACCGCGCCGUAUUAGAUAGUUGGUAAGGUAACGGCUUACCAAGGCAACGAUACGUAGCCGACCUGAGAGGGUGAUCGGCCACACUGGAACUGAGACACGGUCCAG
rnacentral:rRNA from 1 species